AUGAUAUAAAAGAGUUUACACAGGAAGAUUAUUUUCGUAACUCUUUAGGGGCUGAGUGCUUAUAGCAAGUGACUAAGGGUACACAGAAUCCUGUCUCCACUGACCAUACGUCUGUUCACCAGUAGCAUCGAUCACACCAGUACAUCUCACCUUGGUAUCCUCAAGCUACUGGCACUGACUGGCUGGUACUAAAAGGCACCAGGGAGCUUAUAUUCACCUAAAGAAGAAAACUUAGUCACAGUUUCUAUUGCUCCAAAGAGUAGAACCAGCAGAGUGGACUCAAGGCCCUAAACACAAGAGCAAAAUUACACACAGAUCUAAUACCCUGGUCUUACGACUGAGCAGGAGAGAGACCAAAGUCUGAUGUGCUGCAGACUCUGAUCACCACAAUAAUAAAAGCAACAAAAUAUAACAAGGAAGUGAGACAUGAAUUUCAGUGGCAAAUCUGUAAAACUGCUUAUCAAUAAAUCCAGUUCAGAUUCACAGAAUUUUUCAAGGACUACAGGAAGACCACACAGACAAAGCUAGAAGGAAGUACCAUGGGAAAUAUUUUCUUAUAUGCUGUUGAUGACACUUAAAUUUGAGGGAC